rnacentral:rRNA from 1 species
CCUGGAGACUCCUACGGGAGGCAGCAGUGGGGAAUAUUGCACAAUGGGCGCAAGCCUGAUGCAGCGACGCCGCGUGAGGGAUGAAGGCCUUCGGGUUGUAAACCUCUUUCGUCAGGGAACAAGGCAUUGCCUUUUUUGGUGGUGUUGAGGGUACCUGGAUAAGAAGCGCCGGCUAACUACGUGCCAGCAGCCGCGGUAAUACGUAGGGCGCAAGCGUUGUCCGGAAUUAUUGGGCGUAAAGAGCUCGUAGGCGGCUGGUCGCGUCUGUCGUGAAAACUUCCGGCUCAACCGGGGGCUUGCGGUGGGUACGGGCCGGCUAGAGUGCGGUAGGGGUAACUGGAACUCCUGGUGUAGCGGUGGAAUGCGCAGAUAUCAGGAAGAACACCGAUGGCGAAGGCAGGUUACUGGGCCGUUACUGACGCUGAGGAGCGAAAGCGUGGGGAGCGAACAGGAUUAGAAACCCCAGUAGUCC